UAUGUAGGCGGCGCUGUUAGUCGGGUGUGAAAUCCCUCGGCUCAACCGAGGAAUUGCGCCCGAUACUGCAGUGCUUGAGGGAGACAGAGGUAAGCGGAACUGAUGGUGGAGCGGUGAAAUGCGUUGAUAUCAUCAGGAACACCGGUGGCGAAAGCGGCUUACUGGGUCUCUUCUGACGCUGAGAUACAAAGCUAGGGGAGCGAAGGG
rnacentral:rRNA from 1 species